rnacentral:rRNA from 1 species
GACGAACGCUGGCGGCGUGCUUAACACAUGCCAGUCGAACGGAAAGGCCCUGCUUUUGUGGGGUGCUCGAGUGGCGAACGGGUGAGUAACACGUGAGUAACCUGCCCUUGACUUUGGGAUAACUUCAGGAAACUGGGGCUAAUACCGGAUAGGAGCUCCUGCUGCAUGGUGGGGGUUGGAAAGUUUCGGCGGUUGGGGAUGGACUCGCGGCUUAUCAGCUUGUUGGUGGGGUGGUGGCUUACCAAGGCUUUGACGGGUAGCCGGCCUGAGAGGGUGACCGGCCACAUUGGGACUGAGAUACGGCCCAGACUCCUACGGGAGGCAGCAGUGGGGAAUAUGGCACAAUGGGCGGAAGCCUGAGGCAGCAACGCCGCGUGCGGGAUGACGGCCUUCGGGUUGUAAACCGCUUUCGCCUGUGACGAAGCGUGAGUGACGGUAAUGGGGAAAGAAGCACCGGCUAACUACGU